UGCCCCUCGUCCCGGAGGGUUCCCGGCGCGCACCCGGGUCUCCAGAGCGUCUCCUGCUCCCCCAAGGAGCCGCACGUUGACGUACCAGGUGAGGAUUGUCUGCGGGAUCUUCUUCUCUUGGGGGGGCUCUGGUCUCACAACCCGACAGUGGGGGGAAAGGGAGAGAUCCUGGACCCUGCCCGGGUAUCCAAACUCAGGGAGGAGCCUCCCCCGUGCUUUCCGGCCUGGGCGAUGUCCGAGUGUCCGCUCGGCUCAGGGCCAGAGCUCUGGCGUGCAGCCCCCGCCCCUGGCUCCCGUGGGUCCGGCUCCUCAGCCCCAGCUCGGGUUCCGGCGCCGACCCCUCCCAGCCCUCUGCCCGAGUGCAGCCCAGCGCAGUCCGGAUCCGUUUCAGGACACUCGCGGCCACGGCUAAAGAUAGGAGGACACCUCACCAUACGACCCUGAGCCCGGGCGGGGAUGGCGGCGGGAGGGCACUCCCGGGUCCUGGGGUGGGGGGCGGGGGCUCUGGCGCAGUGUGGAGGGCUGGACCGGGAGUUCAGGUUCGGGAUGCGCGGCGCACCGCAGGCCGAGGGGGAAGCGGGCGUGGCCGCCGGGACCAAGGCGCGGGCGGGAAACAUGGUGCAGCCCGAGGCACCCGGGAAAGGAUCUACGUGGAGGUGAGUCGGGGGCCGGGGCGCGAGCUGGGAUGGGGCGCCUCGAGGAUGGGCCUCCCUAGGAGCCGCGGUCGGGCCGCAGAGUCCCGGCCUGAACUCACCUUGAGCGCGUUCAAGCGACUGACCGGCGGGCGGCGAAAGCUCAGGAGCUGGACCGCGCGGCGAUGGGACAGACCUGGGCUGUGAACUUACAGUGCUGACAGUGGCCCCUAAAGCCCCGCCCCCUGCCGCGGAGCCAAUGCCGGGACCGCCCCAACUAGGCCCCGCCCACAGCCUCGCCCUACUCCCUGGCCCGCCUGGGUUCCCCCUUUGGAGGCGCAGCGCGGGGGUCCAGCAGCCGCGCGGGCCCGGGGGUCCAUUCCAAGCUCGGGCGGCUGCGGCCCAGGCGGCGUCGGGUGCACGGGCUGGACUCCGCGGACUCCGGCUGUGCCCGUCGGAACCAAAACUCUCGGUUCUAGGAGGGCCGGGUCCGGGGAGGCGCCCGCACAAGUGUAUUCAGUGACUACUAAGGAAAUGAAUGAGGCCUUAGAGGCGUCUAUGUUAAAAUAUUACAGACUUCCGAGAGCUUUCAGGAGUUUGCCGCCCCUUAGAAUACAGGGCAUUGAGGGUGUGUGCGGGAGGAGUGGCCGGGCCAUGCCCGUAUUUGCUGUCAGGCUAAGUGGCGUCCGGGGCUGGGGUGGGAUCCGUACUUAGACUCAUUCCAACAUUAGUUGAUUGGCUGGUUGGUUGGUUCAUUAAUUCUUUCAUUCGUUCAGUACGAGCAACAUUUACUGAAGGGCAGGCCCUACACAGGAGCUGGAGAUAGACUAAAGGGAACUCUGCCCUUGCUCCUUUCAGUGAUUCAGCAGAUAAUUGUGCAUCUAUAGGUGCCAGGCGCUGUUCUUGUCGCUGGGGAUGCAGCCCCCUCCGGACUGGGACCUACUGUCCAAUGAAGGGACGUGGAGGAAACCCAAGUCCCCAAGUAGACUGUGAUACCCGUCUGAGGGAGCAAGUGCUAAGAAGAGUGGGGCAAAGGAAGGGUGGAUGGUAAUGAGGUGAGGGGACCUUGCUUUCUGGAGGAUGACAGCUGUGACCGUACAAUGUGACCAGGAUGAUGAAAGCUUCCAUACUGUAAAUGUGGGAGGGACUCUUAGGGAGAGGGGGUCAGGAAGGCAUCCUGAGGGAGGGAAGGAUGGGGAGAAGGGGAGUGGAGUAGGCAAAUGGCCCCUCCCUAAAGAUGUCCAUGUCCUAGUCUCUGGAACCUGUGAAUAUAUUUCGUUACACAGCAAAGAAUAAUUAAGGUUGCCAAUGGAAUUACAGUUACUAAUCAACUGACUUUAAAAGAGGGAGAUUACCCUGAAUUAUCUGGGUGGGCCCAAUGUAAUCAUGAUGGUCCUUAAAAGUGGAAGAGGGAGACAGGAGAGUCAGAGAAAGAGAUGUGAUGACACAGAAAUGCUGUGUUGCUGCUUUGGAAGAUGGAGGAAGGGGCCACAGACAAAGGCAUGUGGGUGGCCUCUAGAAGCUGGAAAAGUCAAGGAAACAGAUUCUCCCCCAGAACCUCCAGAAGGAACACGGCCCAGCUGACGGCUUGAUUUUAGACCCAUGUUGGACUUCAAACCAACGGAACCGGAGCAUCAGUCAGGUGGAUUCUGCCAGGACUGGCCUGGUGGCUCAGAGGAAAACUGAGGCCUGGACAGUGGAGGAAUGGGGCCCUGGGCCAAAUUGUCGUGUGUGUGGAUAAGUAUUGUACCUCUCUCCCUUCCUGCCACCGCGGCUCUGCCAAGAAUCCACCCACCCAGGCUUGCCUGUGCCCCUUACCAAGUGCCUCUUGCCCCUGAGCUCCUCAAAUCCUCUGAGAGCCCAGCAAGGUGGGCAGAGCCAGCAUCACUAUCCCCCUUUACAGAAAUGUAAACCGAAGCUCGGGCCCUGACAGUGAUCUACUUAGACUGCAAGUGGCAAGACAUGCUAGCUCUGGGCCCUCGUCCCCACUCAGUCUUCUCACCCAGCCAUUGUCACCCCCCACCCCGCCUUCCUUCCCACACACAGCCAGGUAGGGGGACAGCUAGGUGCCAGGCCCUGAGCACUGCUUCUGAGCCACAGACCCAGGUUCUGAGCUGGCUGUGCUGCUGACUUGCUCUGUGGCCACGGACGAAGAAAGUACAGUCCCGUUCUGAGCCUUCUUGCCUGUAAAAUGGGAGUUACAUGAGUCCCAAGCAAGAGAAGGGACUUGCGAGUGUAUUGUUGAUGGGACCACACAGUCCCCGCAGGCAGGAGUUUCAUGGAAACAUUAUAACAGGAGCUUUGGGGGGUGGUGACUGGCCUUGUCACCUGACCUGGAAUGAGUCUAAUGAUGCCUAGAUGACUCUAAUAAUGACCCCCUGAGCCUGCGGCGCAGCCCCGCCCAUCAGCUGAGCGUCCUCCAUUGGAGGAAGGGGCUCGGGGAAGGUCAGGAGCUCCAUUCAGGGCUGGUGGCAAAACAAAGUUACAGAGAUGAAAGCUUGCAGAGGCAAAGACCCUCAUCCAAGGUCACUCAAAGCCAGGAACGAACUCCAGAGCCCUUUGGAGAGGUUCUGGUGUGUGUGUGUGUGUGUGUGUGCAGUUGGGGAGCCUUGGGGGAUGGAUAGAGAGCAGCAGAUUUGGCCCCCGAGCCUGACCCAACCCCCGGACCCCUCCCUCAGCAACUAGCCAUCCUCCCAACCAGGACCCAAAGCCACAGGAACCGCGCUCUGGGGACUGUUUUAAUCCCACCUGGCUGUGACGUGGCUCCGCCCAGUGCCGACUCCCUGUGCUGCUCUCCUGCCAUCAGCCAGAGAUACGGCCCCCACAAAGCCCACAUCCAAGGCCCGCUUUGUGCCGGGCACUGGGUUCUGUGCUUUGCAAGCACUCAGGUAGGUGGUUCAUUCUCCCCAUUCACAGAUGCGGUCAUGUCACUUGGCUGGGGCCUGAGGAAUCCCUGGGGAUGGGGCUGCUGGCAGCUCUCAGCUCUGCUGAAUGGACGAGAUCUUUGCAGAUACGCCCAGUGUUGCCAUGGCAGCCCUGCAAUUAAUGAGCAUUUAUAAAACAGGAUUUCAUUGACUAAAACUGGCUUUUUUAUUCAACUUCUCAGGCAGUGUGUAAAGGCCCAAGUAUGGGUGGUGAGGCCGGGAUCCUGAGCCACGGGAGGGCCAGGGUGUCCUGUAUUUCUGACCCCGUAGACACUCAGGCCAAGUGCCCCCUGCCCAGCCUGACUGAGGGUCUGCUGCCUCAGCUAGGGCCUGGACUAUUCUUGCUGGAAGGACUCCUGGACACCCCAGUGUCUGAGGGGGUAGGACCCUGAGGGACAUUCAGGACAGGUUAGAGGCAAGGAAGCCUGUGUGGAGCAAUGCGCCAAGGGGCUUCCCUGGAGGUCCAGUGGUUAAGACUCUGUGCCUGCAACGCAGGGAGCAUGGGUUCGAUCCCUGAUCCGGGAACUAAGAUCCCACAUGCUGUGCGGCACGGCCAAAAAAUCCCCCCAAAAAAUGUGGUAUUCAAAUUCCUUCUUCUCAGCCUGGAGCCUCGCCUUGAUCCUGAGAUAAGCCCAGUCCCCACCCCUCUGCCCCCCAGUCCCACAGCAACUUCCCGCACCCACAGGACCUGUAAUCACCAUACAGGGACUGACUCAGCCCUUCCUUCCCCGCCCAGUCUCUUCUUCCUGAAAAUCACCCACGUCAGCAGCCCCAGCCCCCAAAGGCCCUGGGGGAUAGAGCCUGAGGCCCCCUUAUCCGAGGUUAGCCUGGAAGAAUGGAGGAACUGAGCCGGAGGGGUAGGACUCCCAGGCCGGAGCCAGCUCUCCUCGGCCCCGCCCACCCGGGGACCUAGGGAGGCAGGUGGGAUGAGGGGACCAGGAGUCUGGGGACAGGUCUGAGAGCAGGGAGUCAAAAGGGAAGGGUGGUGAUACUCUUGGGGGCGUCUAGGGGGCAGUGUGAGGAGACAAGGUCUCUGGAAGGGCCUCAGCCCCCGCCACCCCGAUCCCCUGCCACAGGGAGACAGGGAGCAGGGCCAGAGCUCCGUCCACCCCUAGGAAGCCUCCUCCGCACAGCCUGAGCUCAGCCUGCAGGGCUCCGUGGCCUGAGCCAACCCCAGGCCUGGUUUGGAUUUUUCCUUGAUUGUUUCUUGUUUCCUUCCUCCCCUGGGCUCCUGCCAACUCCAGCCCUGCCCUCCUCGCUUUUCACUUGCCUUCAUAGAACUCUGACCUGGCAGAGGCUGGGAUUCGAGAUGAGAGUCCCUUCGAAGCUACCGCCAGCUUCUGCCUCUGCCUUGGACCCCCUCCUUGGGAGUUGGGUGGCAGGGCCUUACUGGGGGACUUUCCUUUGGGUCCGGAUUUUUGGCCCCAGGCCCAGGGCCAUGGGGGUUUCCGGAGUGGUGACAGCCCUGUCCUAGCAGGGACUGAGGCACUUCCUCCCGGAGGCCUCUGGGAACAUCCAAGCCACAUGGCUGUCUUUUGGCCUGGGGAACACAGAGUUAGCAGGCGUUGUUUUCAACACUUCCCACCCCUUCAAGGCACCUUGUCAUUAUUCAUUUUGAAAACUCAUUUGCAUCUACCUUGUGCCUAGAGCUGUGCUGACUGGAGAAGACACAGAGGGUCAAGGCUGGGCCCAGCCCUCAGAGAACAGAUACCUUGAGUAAAACAAAUAACCGAUUCUAAAACAGCACAUUCUGUGCCAUAAUGGAGGUCCUUGAAAGCAGAGGCCAGUUCUGAUUUACCUCUUUCUAUCCCAGGCAGCGUAGACGAGGCUCAGUGAGUGACUAUGGAUUGAAUGAAGAACCAAAAAGAACAGCGGUAAGAAGGACUUGUUCUGCUAGAGGUGGAGAAACAGAUGGAAGAGUUAGGAAGGCUUCAAGAGGAGGUGAUAUUUGAGCAGGGUAUUAAUGGAUGAGUAGGAAUUUGCCAGGCAGAGAAAGGAAAGGAUAUUUCAGGGGGAGCAGGGAGAGGCAAAGGCAAAGGCCAGAAGGAGUGCAAGUAGAUGCAUGGUGUGAGCGGGAAACAGGAUAGAUGUGUCCAGCAGACCACGGCACAGGAGAGGGGGAAAGACCAGGAGGGUAGCUGGCGAGCACCAUUAUCCUUGCCCAGCUCCCAUUCCUCUUAUUCUGCUGACCACCCCUCAAUUUUCCAGAGUCUCCAGUAUGAUUGACCUUGCCUCCAAGCUCUAAAAGUGGGUCUGAGGCCCCAGCCUACCCAAUCUGAGUCAUAGGGAUGGUUUAGGGAUGGGCAUGUCAGCAGUGGGCUUCAGCCUGGGAACUUGUGGUGACUAUUAGGGUGACAGAUGCCAAGAUGUCAACUCAGGGCUGUCAACUCACGGAAGAGCUUGUCUAAGAAUAAAGCCAGCAGAGAGGAAAGCAGAGCCCAGAGAAUGACUCUCAAUAACAUUGUUCGUGCUUCUGGAUCCAGCCAUGCCUGAAUCAGACAUCCAUUACAUGAAGCAACAACUUACAAUUUUUGUUUAGUCCUGUUGGAAUUGGGUUUCUGUCACUUGCCCAUUAAAGAAUAAUUAAAAGCAAACAAUAGCUCACGAGAGCAGCCGAAUGCUGUGGGAGGGAAGCAAGGAUCUGUGCAGAAGUGCGACAUGACCAGAAUUGCAGUUUUUUAAUUUAAACUAUCUUGUUGACAUGGUAAUGCUUUCGUGUGGUUCACAAUUUAGAAAUCACAGCAGGCUGAAGAGCCCACGCGCCACAUCGAAAGAUCCCGCAUGUUGUGACGAAGAUCCCGCGUGCUGCAACUAAAGACCCGAAGCUGCCAGAUAAAUAAAUAAAUAAAAAUAUAAAAGAAGAAAUCACAAGAGGCAAAACGUCUCCCUCUUACCCCUGUUCCCCAGGCACCAGUUCUCCUCUCCACAAACAACCAGCGUUAUCAGUUUCUUGUAAACACUUCUAGAGAUACUCUUUGCACAUGCAAGCAAAGCCCCGUCUGUUUAUUUUUUACACAAAUGGCAAUAUUUAGAGAAGUAGAGCCCCAAAGUACAGCAGACCUUGGUGGGAGCAGGGGGAGGACAGGCCCCACUGCCGGGGGCGAUGGGGGAGAUUCUGCAGGAGCCAUGGGAAGCCACAAUUUAUUGAGCCUCUGCUAUUCACAUUGUCCGGCACCUUCCUUUCUUCAGUUGACAUUAUAUCUAUGACCACUUCAUGUCAGUUCAUAGAGUAUAUCGUCAGUUUCAUUUUCUCCCAGCUGCACAGUAUUUCACAUGGGGUGUACCAUAAUUUAUGCAAAUUAUGGCCUCUCCAGCCUCAAGCCCCCUCUCCACUCCCUCUGUUCUGGACAAGGGCCUUUCAGCCCAUCAGCCACCCCCAUGGCCUCAGUUGACGGACGUUUAGGUUGUCCCCAGCCCUUUCCUGUGACAAGCAGUGCUGCCAUCUUGCACAGAUGCUGUUACACACUCGUGUGAGCACACGAGUGAGCUGAAGAAUAAGUUCAUAGGGACUUGGGGGUCACAGGACACUCUCUGUUGUCAUUUGGUCAGCUCUGUCCACUUGUCUUUCUCAGGUGAUGUGCCAGGUCCAGGCCCCCAUAGGGACCACAGGGCCCAUUUCUCCUCAGCCUCACUGGCAACUGGUUCUCAGCCUUUAUAUUUGUGUCACUCUGGUAGGUAAACACUAACUAAAGACAAAGGAGCCUCAGUGUGGUUUUAAUCUGUGUUUCUCUUGUAAGUGAGUUUGGCCAUUUUUCAUAGGCUUCAGGGCCAUUUCUAUUUCCUUUUCCAUGAACUGGAAAAGGAAUUAGAGAAUUAUGCUUAAGAGGAUCGAUUCAGAGAAGGGGACGUGGAGGGAGGCCUGAUUGGAGGCAGGUGCCACUUUGGGGGGGAUGGAUCAGGAGAGAGACGGAACUUGGCUCUGAGCUGUGGUGUGAAAGACGGCACUGGAGAUGAUGAGGUCGAAAGAUUGGAAUUUGGUGACAGAUGGGCCACAGGGGCCAGGGAGGAAGGACCGGGGUCAGGCCGGUCCAGCGUGGUGACUUGGGUGAUGAGAGGGGCCAGGGAGGAAAGGGAGGACAGUGGGGCCACCAAGGGAGAUGGAGGAUCCCAGCAGGGGCCCUGCCCACUCUCCACCCCACAUCGUGACUGAUGCAAAACACCAACCUGACGGCCACACGCCCCUGCUCACAUGCUUCAGUGGCCACAAACCCUGGUCAGGGACCCUGCUGGCCUCCAGCCUCAAGCCACCUCUCGGCUCCCUCUUCUCUGGCCUUGAGCACACCCAGCCUCCAGGACGGGCUCCUUACACGGCUCCUCCCUUCACUGGCCGCCUCCUGCGAUUCCUGCAGGUCUCAGCCAUGGUAUCUCCCCUCGGGGAAGCAUUCCGGACCCCAAUCGAUGUCGAGUUCCCUCAGAGAAACUCCGGACCACGGUCCUCUCUGAGCCAUCGUCAUCUGAUUCAUGUCCAUCCCCCACUGGGCUGUAACCACUGUUGCCUCCCCAGAGUGAAUGCCAAUGAAUGUGAAUGAAUGAACAGAUGAAUGAAUGAAGGGCAGGGUACCGUGGGUAGCAUACAGGGGGCAAAUAGGAGACGAGGGUUUAGGAAGUUAAAGAGCCUGCAGUUGAGACUUCCCUGGUGGUGCAGUGAUUAAGAAUCUGCCUGCCAGUGCAGGGGACAAGGGUUCCAGCCCUGGUCUGGGAAGAUGCCAUAUGCUGUGGAGCAACUAAGCCUGGGCGCCACAACUACUGAGCCUGCGCUCUAGAGAGCGAAAGCCACAACUACUGAGCCCACGUGCCACAACUACUGAAGCCCGUGCACCUAGAGCCUGUGCUCUGCAACAAGAGAAACCCCCGCUUGCAGCAACUAGAGAAAGUCCACACGCAGCAACAAAGACCCAAUGCAGGUGGAGCAGGAAUUCUCUCCAUUUGGUGGUACGUGUCUGCAUCCGGAUGCUGAGAAGAGAUCCCCACACAGAGCCAGCACCACUGCAAGUGUCUGCGAACAGGAGCAGGCGUGGGAACAGGCAUGGGAACUGAUGGGCUAGGGCCCAGGUGGACGUUUCAUGACAAGGCAUCCCUUCGGCAGUCCAUGCGCAUGGCAAAAGAUGUCAAACAGGAUGUGAGAAUGGACAAGACAAAUAAUCCUCCGAGCCCUGACCCCUGGUUCUCCAACACCCAUCCCCAGAGGUAAACCACUGUGAUUGGAAAUAAUCUAAGAACCAUCUGCUUCAUCCUUGGGCUUGUGUCUUGAAGGCCCAGGGCACGACCAGGACGAGGGAAGAUGCCACCAAAGGGGAUUCUGAAGCAGGUCCUCCCAGAGCAUUGCCAACAGUCACACGACUUGUAUCCAGGCAACGGGCUCUUGCUCCCAUUCACGCGGAGCACCAGCUUUCUUUCCCGGGAAGCUGCACACCACCGCCUGCCUGCCCGGCACACGCCUCCCUCCCACCAGGAUACAGGUCUUUUCUCCCCUCUGUAAACCGCCCUAUCCCACUGGGGCCUCUGGAUCGUCCUUGACCAAUGGGCACCAGGACAUUACCAUUCCCCACAAGGCUGCUGCAGCAGCAACAUAAGAAUUGCCAGAGCCGUGACACCCAAGGAGCCACACGUGGGCUCAAACGGCAUCGGCACGGGCUGCUCCCCCGGCCUGACAGCUGCGGGUUUCCAGCCUUGGCUUUGGCGUGUGAGGCAGGACGGCCGCCAGCUCAGGGCAGAAACCCGCUCCACGUUCAGCCAGCGACAUCCUCUCCCCAGAUGCCAGGACACACAGGAAAAAGACGGAGCGGAAAGAAGAUUAAACUCAGAAGCCACAGAAUUUACUUUCAUAUCUCCAAAAGUUGUUUCUGUGUCUGACUCAGUAGGAAAUCGCAAAGCCUUGACCUUCCCGAGCGCACCGCGUCCACAGUCAGUUCUCGCUGGGCUCCUAGUGUCCAUGAAGAAACAACAGCUUCUUCCAGAGAAGCUCGAUGCGGAGUAGGGGUCCAGCUGCCCAAGGUCUUCCCGCUGGGCCCCCUGCCCGCAGCCCUGUCCUCCCCAGCUGGCUGCCCCCUCUCCUUCCAUGGGUGGGAUCUUGGCAGAUGUCUACUCCCGGGCUCUCAGUGUCUGGGAGGCCCGCAUGACGGGGGGAUGACAGAGGACCGAGACUCAGAUCCUGACCACCUGGGCAGCAGUACAUGGGCUCCGCCUGCCCUCGGUGCCCGCGGCCCGCCUCCUAAGGGGACAGGACGCAGGCUUGUCAUCCCAGGGUGGAGUUCCCUGGUAGUGGCCUGGGAAAGGUGUCGAGGUCAAAUCUGUCAGAGCUCCCUGAGCCCUAAGCGCUCCCUUCACGGUCAGCUACUCCGUCGGGCAGGCUCACCUCCGCUGCGUCAGGAUGUGCUUGAGUAUUCGGCUGAACCUGUCUGAAGUUCCGGAAGAACUAGGAGAGGAAGAAAAGCAAGAAACGGAAAGUGGAACCUUGUUUAUCAGUGCCUGUUUCUCCUCGGGAAGGAGUUAUUAAACUAGAGAGAAGUGACGCGGCCAAGGCGUGUGACAAGAAGGUACCUCUGGGGAAGUUUAAAGACCUGCCCGCAAAUGCUCGGUCUGCUGAGCAGGACACUGGGUUGAGAAGGGAAAGAGCAGGAACCCCUUGCGAUCAGGGCCCAGGCAGGCUAUCACCAGCUCCGCAUCGUGCCAGAGAACGUGGAGUCUGUGCCGGCGCGAGGCCAGCUGUAGCCGGCGUGACCCUUGCUCCUCCAACCGGAGCCAACAAACACACACCCAUUCUCGCCUAGGACGCAAACUGCUCCACACUCCUUCCCAUGAUGGCGAUGCGAGCAGUGAACCGCUGAGCCUCAGCUCAACACUUCUGGCUGUGUCUGAUCCUCCGCAGGGCUACACACUGUUCUGGAAGGGGGAACACCCUGCGGGGUGAAUUCACAGUCACCCUCUACAAGCAGGGACAUCUUGUUUAGGUCACAAAUGUGGCAAACAAAGAAAAGUAGAUGAACUUCUAUGACUAGAAGUUAAGUGCAAAGACAGAAUGGAUGUGGUGCUUCAGGGUCUCAAACACCACAGAAACAAGUGGUAACAGAAACACAUGCAUCCCACCGCUCCCCUUGGGUGCAGAGAAACUCAGUGGCCAAAGGCUUUGGCAGAAAGUGCUGCUCUAGGGGCUGCCCUCUCAACCCUGCCAAGCAACCCCUUGGCCAAGGACAGGACCAGGAUCCAGAGGAACUGCCUGCGGGACCGAAAAACCCUUCUCACCUACUGAUCUCCUCAGCCCCCAUGUGGAGCAGCAGAUCGGUGGAUGUCAAGCCAAAGAUCGUUCCAUUUAUGGAGAGCGUGCAGGGCUCGGACACAAACUGCACUCGCUAAAAUGAGAAGCGGGGGACAGACGUUUGCACACCAAAGCUAGAAACUUCUUCCCCAUGAAAAUGGGGGGUCUGCAAGGGCUGGGGGGACCAGUGAAAGGGGGACCAACCCAACGGACAGUAAGUCACACGCCUGCCUGUUACAAAGAGAAGCUUAAGACGCAGGCACGUGUGCCUCAAAGGCGCCCCCGCCCUCUGCUUCCGGGACGAGUUGGGUCGCCUUCGGCACGUUGGACUCUGGCUGCCUGGUCGAGGAGGGGACGCUGGUACCUUUUUGUCCUCCCGAGGCAGGUCGGAGCAGCUGAAGGGCGGCUGUGGGUACACGGGCUCGUGGUGCACAUCUCUCAAUGAUGGGACGAAGAUGAGGUGUGAGCCGGAGCUACUUUGCCAAAAAAAGCAUCAGAACAGGAAGGAAAAUGAGUGCAGCUGAGUUAGCAUAGCUGGGUGACAGACUUAAAGGGUCAGAGCUGGACACAAGAGCCUACUUCCAGGGAAGAAGUUCCGAACGGAGCUCUCCUAUGAAGGCGGGGUGCCGUUCCCCGUGGGACACCAGGAACGAGAGACGACCUGUCCUAAUUUACACACAACCACCUGGAUGGGGCUCAUGGCUCUCUCCCAGGACACGCUUUCUCCUGGCUCCGUAUGACGUUCUACUCGAGAGAGGAAGAGGACUACUGUUUCGUAGAAAAAGGGGAGAAGAAACGGAGAUCUAGGAAAGCAGGAAAGACGAGGAUUUGACUGAAAAUCCUCAGAGCCAGAUCUGAAGCCAAAGUUCUGACUCUUCACACUGUGUGAACAGACGUGGCUUUUAGGCGUCACUAGCCUCCCUGGCUGGGGGCCUCUUCCCUCGGGAGGGACCCGGCAGGCUGAGCAGAUCUGGGAGGGGAAGGCACGGCAGGUUCUGGUUCGCCAAGAGCCCGCCCCGCCCACCCCUCCCGCACAGGGAAUCAACGCCCUUGGUUUUUCUUUCUCAGCAGCCUGUCUUACAAAGAUGAAAGAAAUAUCUAACUGCAACAGUAAAAGCAGAGAUGACAGACAUUUCCUUUGAUGGAGGCAGGAGAAUCUCUAGGGUUACAAGAUGUAAGUGAAGAAAAACCCCGUAACUCUAGAAGCCAACCUUUAACCUCUCCAGCCACGCAGAAGAAGAAAGGGGGAAAAAAACCUGUCCUUGGCGGGGUGGGGUCUAUUGUAAAGAGGGAAAGUGUUACUUUGGGGCGAGUUUAACAGCCACCAAUAGCUCUCACUUCUAGCGCCCUCUCUUGCUUAAGACGCAGUGGCUUCCCAGAGGCAGGUACAGGCACCUGUGCAGGUAUAGGGACGUGGCUGCCUCUCACAUGGGAUAAAGGUGUUGGUGAUGGUUGUCACACCUGUCACUUGUUUGUCAGGCCCGCUCAAAGCGUGAAGUGAGGCUUCUGCAGCGGAAAUUCAGAAUCUUGAGACCAAAGGCACUUUGCGAAUUAGCUAUAGUCCCUUUGACAUUGAAAGUUAAGUCCCUGUAUGUAGCCAAGUCUAUGGAUUUGGGUGCUGAAGUCUGGCAGACAGGCCGGGGGGUGACCCGAAGGGGACAGUCUGUGCUUCAGAUCCCCGGGGCUCAGUCCGUAAUGGACAGGAAGGCGGAGGCACGGCUGGCCGCCGCCGUUAAGAGAUGGACUCGCUCUGCUUCUGUGCAGGCUUUGGCAGAGCAACAGUUAAGGAGGAAGCGGGCCUCUGGCUCAGGGUUAUAGGCUGGCUGCAGGGGGAGGGAUCCGAGAGAAAAUUCCAACUAUGCUGAGCAUUGCACAACUUCAUACAUCACGGUGGGGAAGGGCCUUGCAGCCGCUCCCUCCCUCA